UACGGAGGGUGCAAGCGUUAUCCGGAUUCACUGGGUUUAAAGGGAGCGUAGGUGGGCUUGUAAGUCAGUGGUGAAAUCUCUGGGCUUAACCCGGAAACUGCCAUUGAUACUAUAGGUCUUGAAUUCUCUGGAGGUAAGCGGAAUAUGUCAUGUAGCGGUGAAAUGCUUAGAUAUGACAUAGAACACCCAUUGCGAAGGCAGCUUACUACGGAGACAUUGACACUGAGGCUCGAAAGUGUGGGGAUCAAACAGG
rnacentral:rRNA from 1 species